UCAACUCAAAUAUCUCUUGGAGUGUAUGCACACCAAGUGUUUGUGAAUUUGCAUAAGCCAAAGUUGUCUUAAGUUUACAUCCAGUUUAAUUUGGUAUUUUGGAUCAUUGGAACUAGGCUUGCUAGUUAGUGAAAUAUAUCAAUUGAGUGUGCAAAUAGUGUAGUGAUUAGUAUUUCAUUUUAUCUCAAAUCCAUUAGCUUAACGCAUAUCCGGUUUUCCAAUAACGGUUCGUUUUAGACUAAA
rnacentral:lncRNA from 1 species